AUUGAACGCUGGCGGCAGGCUUAACACAUGCAAGUCGAGCGGGGUGAUGGUGCUUGCACUAUCACUUAGCGGCGGACGGGUGAGUAAUGCUUAGGAAUCUGCCUAUUAGUGGGGGACAACAUCUCGAAAGGGAUGCUAAUACCGCAUACGUCCUACGGGAGAAAGCAGGGGAUCACUUGUGACCUUGCGCUAAUAGAUGAGCCUAAGUCGGAUUAGCUAGUUGGUGGGGUAAAGGCCUACCAAGGCGACGAUCUGUAGCGGGUCUGAGAGGAUGAUCCGCCACACUGGGACUGAGACACGGCCCAGACUCCUACGGGAGGCAGCAGUGGGGAAUAUUGGACAAUGGUGGGAACCCUGAUCCAGCCAUGCCGCGGGUGUGAAGAAGGCCUUAUGGUUGUAAAGCACUUUAAGCGAGGAGGAGGCUCUUUUGGUUAAUACCCAAGAUGAGUGGACGUUACCCGCAGAAUAAGCACCGGCUAACUCUGUGCCAGCAGCCGCCGCAG
rnacentral:rRNA from 1 species